rnacentral:misc_RNA from 1 species
UACAGAGGGUGCAAGCGUUAAUCGGAAUUACUGGGCGUAAAGGGUGAGUAGGUGGUAAGUUAAGUCAUAUGUGAAAUACCCGAGCUUAACUUGGGGGCUGCGUAUGAUACUGACGUACUAGAGUACUGUAGAGGGUGGUGGAAUUUCCAGUGUAGCGGUGAAAUGCGUAGAUAUUGGAAGGAACACCAGUGGCGAAGGCGGCCACCUGGACAGAUACUGACACUGAGUCACGAAAGCGUGGGGAGCAAACAGG